rnacentral:rRNA from 1 species
UACGUAGGGUGCGAGCGUUAAUCGGAAUUACUGGGCGUAAAGCGUGCGCAGGCGGUUGUGCAAGACAGAUGUGAAAUCCCCGGGCUCAACCUGGGAACUGCAUUGUGACUGCACGGCUGGAGUGCGGCAGAGGGGGAUGGAAUUCCGCGUGUAGCAGUGAAAUGCGUAGAUAUGCGGAGGAACACCGAUGGCGAAGGCAAUCCCCUGGGCCUGCACUGACGCUCAUGCACGAAAGCGUGGGGAGCAAACAGG